AUGGAGUUCUUGCUGCAGCCGAUUAGGAGCACUGCGGUGAUGGAAGAAGUGAAUGACAGCCAGCUUCCGAUGGAGCCGCUUCACUACCCGGUGAUGGCCACUGAAGCUGAGCAGCUCCCGGCCAUGGCGGCUGGUAGUGUUGAGGGGCAGAUCUGUGCGGCCGAGGGGGGAGCCGUAGGUGACGUGGAAGCUGAGCCGCAGGCUUCUGAGCAAUCAAUAGGACAGAUUGAUCCUAAGACUCCAGGAUGGACUCGCAGGGUAAGAAUUGGAGCAGCUGCACCCGGAAGAGCAUCGUGCCCUGGGCGAAUAAGUGCCCUUGAGAAGGCGAUACGGGGGUUUGCUGAUCAGCCAGGGGACAUGGUAAUUGUCCCAGAACUUGGUACAAGCUUCGAUACGCUAGGAGGCGUAUGA
rnacentral:rRNA from 1 species